UGACCCCAGCUUUUUUGUGUCUGUCAUUUCUCAGUCCUCACCCCCUCAAUCGAGUCCCCGUUGCUUUGCCGGUGGGCCUGGCAGGUGGCGCCCAACGUGGAGGCUCGAGAACACGGGAAGCAGGUAGAGGAAGACUGCCCGGUUAACAAAGAUGCGUCGAAUAAAAAGAUUCUGGAGCUGAGUGGUUGCCAACCCGACUUCUGAAACGGAGAGAUGGCUAAGAAGUCCCGCACUCAGAAGUUUCUGCAAGAGUUUUAAAAUGUUCCCUUUUCCUUUUGCGAAGAAGAAGACAAGCAUAUUAAUAAUUAUAGCUUGGGGAUGAGGGGUUCUCUAUUUCCCCAAGAUAUGGUUCUCAUUGUUUAUCUUAUUCACAUGAGGUUUGGGGAGCGAGGUGUAAUCAUUCUUCUUUUGCAGCAACUAUGGUUCUUAUUUCUGUAAGAGGCUUUAGGGGGAAGGUCGGUAAUAUCUCUGAGACCACUUCUACCCUGUCAUCUAUUUGCCCACUCCCUAAUGUAGAUCCUGGAAUGCAAUAAUUGGUAUGGACUCAUUGUCAAGGAGAACAGCCGAAGAUGUUGUUAAAUCAUACAGACUUUAAGAUAGUGGAUUGGAGCCCUCAUGGAGACUUUAUUAAUAAAUUUUCUAAAAUUAA